UUGUAUUAUUUAUCAUAUUACCUGUAAUAUCUAUAUUUAUAACAAACGUUUCGACAUCGUUUUGAUCUAUACGCAAUACAUUUAAACGUACUACAUACGAUUAUUUACGUGGGUAUAAAUACUUAGGCUUGAUUAGGGGGGUUACUCAUUACAGAACCAGAUGUCGAGACGAACAGAGACACGAUUCUCUGUCUACAGUACAUGCUGAUUAUACUACAGAAAAAAAUGAUGGAAGUUGGAUGUUUCUAUGUUGCGGUUAUUUUGAAGUGUUAGAAUGAAAGACAAAAUUUCAGUCAACUGCAAAAGUUAUAUUAAAGAGCAUUUGUUGAAUGGUCAUAAGUUUCAAAAUACAAUAUGUUACUAGGACUAGGAAUUGCCAUGGAAGUAUAUUGUCUGUAAAACUUCCAUGGAAUUGCAUAAUUCCUUUUAAAACUAACCCUGUACUGUAUGUAAACUAAAUGUGCCGUAUGAGAACAGUCUAGCCAAAACGGUGUGUUAUGGAUUCAUGUCGAAUAUUUGUGUUACUUCACGGUAAACGGUAUUUCUUGUGUAUAAUUCGGAGUUUAGUAUGACGUCCAUUAUUACUGUACUAGUAUACAUAUUUUUAGGGGCCAGCUGAAGGACACUUACGGGUGCGGGAAUUCUCGCUACUUUAAUUGAAGACCAAUUGGUGGCCUUCGGCUGUUGUGUGCUCUUUGGUCGGAAUCAGAGGCGGAUUUAGAGGAGGGGCAGGGGCCUGGGCCCCCCUUUUUGAGAAAAAAAUUGGUUGCUUAUAUAGGGAAUCACUGAAGCGUGACUGGAGCGGGGCCCCUCUUAGGCCAGUCAGUGGGCCCCCACUUAUGAAAAAUUCUAGAAUCCGCCACUGGGAAUGUUGACGCUUUGACACAUUCACCAUUUCCUUUCUCAAUUUUAUUGUUUCAAGAUUUGUGAUAAUUAUAUAGACGAACAGAUCCGUCUUUAAGAAAACACAACAAAAAAAUCGGCCGUUGGUUUUUUGUUUGUUUUGUUUCUUUCAUUUGGAUUAAAUCAUGUUAGGACCUUGUUUAUACGCCUUUUAAACUGUAUGGGUUUUUGCUCAUAGGCUUACGGUGAUCUAUAGUGUUAUUCGGUAUCUGAUGAUUAAAUGUUUUAUUGGUAAUCAUA